UGUGGCAAUUCUAGAGCUAAUACAUGCAAUCAAGCUCCAACCUUCGUGGGACGAGCGCUCUUAUUAGACCAAGGCCAACCUGCUGGGCAACUGGCAGUUAGCUGUGGUGACUCUAGAUAAACACAGUUGAUCGCACGACUUUACGUCGGCGACGUAUCUUUCAAGCGUAUGCCCUAUCAGCUGUCGACGGUAGGGUAGCGGCCUACCGUGGCAUCAACGGGUAACGGGGGAUCAGGGUCCGAUCCCGGAGAGUAAGCCUGAGAGACGGCUUACACAUCUAAGGAAGGCAGCAGGCGCGCAAAUUACCCAAUGGGGAAACCCUGAGGUAGUGACUAAGAAAUAACUAUACGCGACUCUUUCGAGGCCGCGUAAUUGGAAUGAGCACGGUCUAAAUCCUUUAGCGAGGAAUCGAUUGGAAGGGCGAGUCUGGU
rnacentral:rRNA from 1 species